rnacentral:lncRNA from 1 species
GAACCUAUUAUCACCCAACUUAAUGGGAGGCUAUGAUUUAGUUAUCACCAUAACUAUCUCAUUUAAGGGACUUAAUAAUUUAAAAAUUUUAAUUUAUGAAUUAAGAAGAGAGAAGAGAUCAAUCAGCAAAUCAAAAUUCUUCCACUGACUUCACUAAGUUAUUGAAUCGGAUUAGGGUCAUGCUGAUUGAAAUGGCACCU